AAUAAGCGCAUCAAUUUUCAUGUCCAACUUUAAUCGUCCGUCUUAUUUAAUUUUUUUUAUGAUUAGUAUUUCUAUUGUUGUUAAAUUAUAAAACAUGAGUAAUACUUUAUACGUGAAUUAUGUUUUUAGUUUUUUUUAAAAAAAAAUAAAUAAGACGACGAUUAAAAUUGGACACAGAAAUUCAUAGUUGCGCUUAUU
rfam:Oryza glaberrima chromosome 4 Oglab04_0215_10, whole genome shotgun sequence.